GUCUUCUUUCUGUGACUGAAAAGUCUUCUCAGGAUUCCUCCUCAAAAUGAAGUUGCCUGGUAGACUAUUGGUGCUGUUGUUCUGGAUUCCUGCUUCCAGUAGUGAUGUUGUGAUGACACAAACUCCAGUUUCCCUGCCUGUCAGUCUUGGAGAUCAAGCCUCUCUAUCUUGCAGGUCUAGUCAGAGCCUUGUACAUAGUAAUGGAAAUACCUAUUUGGAUUGGUACCUGCAGAAGCCAGGCCAGUCUCCACAGCUCCUGAUCUAUGAGGUUUCCAACAGAUUUUCUGGGGUCCCAGACAGGUUCAGUGGCAGUGGGUCAGGGAUAGAUUUCACACUCAAGAUCAGCAGAGUAGAGCCUGAGGAUUUGGGAGUUUAUUACUGCUUACAAGCUACACAUUUACCUCCCACAGUGAUACAGACCCUAACAAAAAUGUCCUUGCUUUGA